GCGCUCAGAUGCCCCAGCUCAGCCGAGAGGCCGCUCGCGCCGGGUCCUUCCUCUUCCCCAAGUGCAGGCAGAGCCCCCGGAGCCAUGGCCAGUCCUUCCGGCAGCUCCGAAGCCACUGGCAAGACCCGAGGCAGGGAUGGCCGGCCCAGGAGGGAGGAGGACGACGUCCCUCCCGAGGAGAAGAGGCUGCGGCUGUUGCUGGAGGGAGGGGGGAAGGGCACAGCCCGAGGACUGCGAGGACGGAGAGGACGCGCCGCGGCCGGGCAGGGAGGAGACCGGCACCCAGACAGGUGGCGACGGCAGAGGAGUGCCAUUCUACCCUCCCAGCUAUGGCUACCCCAGAUGUCUCCAGACGGUUUCAAAUAUCAUGGAGCAAGGGAGUUGUACGUGAGCAAAACCACCCCAGUUGAGAGCCAUUGGUCUACACUUGUGGAAAUCUUUGAGAGUGAGAGUGUUGAGCUUGGGUCCCUGCUGUACCCUUUAUGAGCAAUGCGGUCUUGGAAAAUUAAUACUACUCCAGGGGCCUCAGUUUUCUCAUCUAUAAAA
rnacentral:lncRNA from 1 species